rnacentral:rRNA from 1 species
GACGAACGCUGGCGGCGUGCUUAACACAUGCAAGUCGAACGAAGUGGCGAACGGGUGAGUAACGCGUAAUCAACCUGCCCUUCAGCGGGGGACAACAGUUGGGAACGACUGCUAAUACCGCAUACUGUAGGAGGGGAUUGCGUGUGGUUAGCUAGUUGGAGGGGUAACGGCCCACCAAGGCGAUGAUCAGUAGCCGGGCGGAGAGGGUGAAAGGCCACAUUGGGACUGAGACACGGCCCAGACUCCUACGGGAGGCAGCAGUGGGGAAUCUUCCGCAAUGGACGAAAGUCUGGCGGAGCAACGCCGCGUGAGGGAUGACGGCCUUCGGGUUGUAAAGCUCUGUUAAUCGGGACGCGGUACCGGAAUAGAAAGCCACGGCUAACUACGUGCCAGCAGCCGCGGUAAUAC